GGGUCACCUUAUUAUGUUCUGGGGCUUCUCAAACAGGACGUGCACCCAAACCACUCUGAAGGUCUUGUCAAAAUGCAGAUUCUGAUUCACAGGGCUGAGGCAGGGCCCGGGCCUCUGCAUUUCUGACAGGUGCCACGUUGAUGCCAAUGCCACUGGUCUGAGAACCACACAUGGCGCAGAGAGGCCUCCCAUGACCAAAACAUCAAAACUGAGGACAAGACAAUUUUCCCCCGCUGAAAGUUGUGGUUACUGUGACUUCCCGGCAAAGCAAUUACAUUUACUCCAUCACAAGAGGCCAAAGAAAAAGCCCAAGAAAUCAAAAGGAGUUGCAAGGAGAUGAAAUCCUCUUGAGUUUUUCUUCUUAAGGAAUUGCUUUCCAUUUCCUGCUUCUGGCACAGGCAGCCUCUCCACACAGCAGCCACUUACUUGGGAUGAAAUGAAAUAAGCAGGUGAGUUAUCAACAUUGCAGACUUGGGCGUGAAUCACCCAGCAGACAGGCCACCCUCUGAGUCCCCCAGUCACCCACGACCGAGACGAUUCCAUCAAUACAAAGUCCCAGCAGGAAACUCCGAACAGCGCAAAACAGGCUGAGAAGCAAGGAAGGCAUGGAGCCUCGGGAGAGAGAAAGGUCGGAGCCUUCUUCUCUUCUGUCAUCACAAAUAUCUGUUGAGUUUUUAAUAUGGACCAGAGACCGCGCCAGGUGCUGGGGAUGCAACAAUGAACAAGACAGCCCUGUCCUUAGGAAGCCUAGUGGGCAGGUUUUUUUCACAUGGUGGACCCAACAGCCUUAGACUUCUAUCAGCUCUCCAACACUGGUAGAAAACCAGCUUCACUUUCCCCAUAGUCUCCCUACCCAUAUCCCACCAACGAAGAAAGAAG
rnacentral:lncRNA from 1 species